rnacentral:rRNA from 1 species
GACGAACGCUGGCGGCGUGCUUAACACAUGCAAGUCGAACGGAAAGGCCCUGCUUUUGUGGGGUGCUCGAGUGGCGAACGGGUGAGUAACACGUGAGUAACCUGCCCUUGACUUUGGGAUAACUUCAGGAAACUGGGGCUAAUACCGGAUAGGAGCUCCUGCUGCAUGGUGGGGGUUGGAAAGUUUCGGCGGUUGGGGAUGGACUCGCGGCUUAUCAGCUUGUUUGUGGGGUAGUGACUUACCAAGGCUUUGACGGGUAGCCGGCCUGAGAGGGUUACCGGCCACAUUGGGACUGAGAUACGGACCAGACUCCUACGGGAGGCAGCAGUGGGGAAUAUUGCACAAUGGGCGGAAGCCUGAUGCAGCAACGCCGCGUGCGGGAUGACGGCCUUCGGGUUAUAAACCGCUUUCGCCUGUGACGAAGCGUGAGUGACGGUAAUGGGUAAAGAAGCACCGGCUAACUACGUG